CCGUCCUAUACACCCAAUGUCCGCAGA
rnacentral:piRNA from 1 species